GGGCAUGGUGGAUGCCUGUAAUUCCAGCACUUUGGGAAGUCAAGGUGGGAGGACUGCUUGAGGCCAGGAGUUCGAGACCAGCCUGGACAACACAAGACCCCAUCUCUACAAACAAAAUGUAGCAUACCCUUAAUCCCAGCUACUUGGGAGGCUAAGGCGGGAGGACUGCUUGAGCCUGGGAGGUCCAGGCUGCAGUGAGCCAAGAUUGCGCCACUGUACUCCAGCCUGAGUGACAAGAUCCUGUCUCCAAAAAUUAAAGGAGAAAAAAAGAAGGAAGAAGAAGAUGACGAUUCAUAAUUCACUUCUCUGUUAUUUGACAGACUGUGAUUCAUUUUCUGAGACCAGCCAUUGACCGUGAAGUGUCUGCUUUGAACUCUGAGGUGCUUACAUGCAGCCCAAGACACAUUCAUUUCUAGUAGAGUGUAGUCCCCUCUCAGUCUCUUAUUCUGCAUGAUCAAGGGGUAGACUUCCUCAUUUCUUGAAUCAUAUUAACCUCUUUAGAAACUAACCACCACUGGGCUGCAGCUUUUUUAUUCACAAACUUAAAAUACAGUUUCCAGUCAGCAUGUGAGCCAGUCAGUUUCCAGGGAUGAUUUGGUUGAGCCUAACGUUGAUGAUGACUCAGAUCAAUGAGUAAUUUAACAUUUUUGUCCAGGAGUGGUGGCUCACACCUGUAAUCCCAGCACUCUGGGAGGCCGAGGUGGAUGGAUCACUUGAGGUCAAGAGUUCGAGACCAGCCUAACCAACAUGGAGAAGCCCCAUCUCUACUAAAAAUACAAAAGUAGCCAGGCGUGGUGGUGUGCACCUGUAAUCCUGGCUACUCGGGAGGCAGAGGCAGGAGAAUCACUUGAACCCAGGAGGCAGAGGUUGCAGUGAGCUGAGAUUGUGCCAUUGUACUCCAGCCUGGUUAACAAGAGUGAAACUCUGUCUCAAAACAACAACAACAACAAAAUCACAUAAAAAACCCCAAAACAUUUUCAAGCAGGCCUUAACUGUGUGUCGUCAUUCUGUGUUGGGGCAGUACUUGACUUUUAUUUCUAAAUCUGUGUAUCAAUGGGCUAAGUCAUGAAAAACUUUGACCACAUAUUAAGGUCCCCCAAUAGGAUCAGAAGGAUCAGUGCAGUGAUGAAGGAAAUCGCCAGCUUUACAGACAGAAGACCCCUGGGUCUUACUAUGCUACAGUCCGAAACAGAGCUUGGUUUUCUGAGCUAAGAACCACGGAAGGGGGAUUUGAACCAAGACCUGCUUCCUCACUUGCAGAGUGGGCCAUGCAUGGUCCCCGAGCUCCCCUGGGGACAAUCUGAGUCUCUUUUCAAAGCAUUUGGAACCGGGAUAUGAAGCAGCCAGUUGUCUUCAUCAGCACGUGAACUCAGAAACAUGCCAACCAGGCCACGGUGGGACGGCCGUUUCUGUGUGUGUCCUCGGAGACCACCACCCUAUGAGGGCACUGCCAAGUGCUCGGGUCUUAUUUAAUUUCCAUAAGCUCUUAACCACAUUUUGAGGAACUCACAAAGGCUUCCCCAUUGCCCUGAAUAACCAGAAUUAGCAGUACAUGAGACUCUUAUCCCUGCAGUUAGAAAAAGUCAAACAUAUGCAGCUGUUUUGAAUAAAAAUCGCUGGCCCUGGACAUCAUUUUUAUUUGGCGCUUUUGCUUGAAAAAAAGGUUCAAUAUACCUUUUUAAUUGGGUUGAAGUCCCCACCGGGCAAGCCAGUGGUUAGCCCUCGGCAACACAAAGUGUGAAGAGGAGGUUAGGGCUUGGCACUGGCGCCUGACUGCCGGGCUGGCACUCCAACCCAGCUGUGUCUCUGUCUGUUGUCUCUAGGUGAGUUCCCUGAGCACUCCAGCCUCAGCUCUCUUCUUUCAAACGGGGAUGGUGUCUCCCUCACAGGGAUGCUGUGUGGACUGGGCUGCCCAGAGUGCUGGUCUGCCAACUGUGGACUGGUCCACACUGAGAUAAGCAGUUGACUCCAUAAAGUAAAUCGAUGCCUGCCUUCCUUAAGAAAGUCUUGCCAUCCAAACAACGCCAGCUGAACUGGACAUCAUACCUGGUGACCAAGUUGAUUCACAUUCCGGUGCUAGCUUCUUAUCCCAUCACGGAUGGCCAGACCUCUGGCACUCAUCUGCAAACCCCGAGCCUGCGAGCACUGCAGUUUGCAUAAACCGCUUUUCCAGCACCGGCACACCAAAUGUGAUCCACGGAUGUCACCUGUGAGUAUUCCAGAAGGUUUCCUGGGACCGUAUUCUAACAAAACGCUAGCAGGGGAGUCCUCUGGAGGUGGUGAGAUUAGGACUGAUUGAAUUUUCCUCUUUGUAUUUUUCCGUGGCUUCCACAAAGAACAUGUAUUCUUUUUAUCAGAAAAACAUUUUUUUUUCUUUUGAGAUGCAGCCUUGCUCUGUUGCCAGGCUGGAGUGCAGUGGCACGAUCUUGGCUCACUGCAAUCUCCGCUUCCCGGGUUCAAGAGAUUCUCCCGCCUCAGCCUCCUGAGUAGCUGGGACUACAGGUACGUGCCACCACGCCCAGCUAAUUUUUGUAUUUUUAGUAGAGAUGGGGUUUCACCAUGCAGAAAAACAUUUUUAAAUAAAACAGACCCCUGUAGAUGUCUUCACGGAUAUCAUCAAACUUCAAAUGUGAUUGGGACAGGAAUGUGAGAAGUCUUGUCUUGGGGGAGGGGCAGCUUUCAGAAAGUGGCUGUCAGCUUGGUUUUCACAGCCAGCGUCUUGGGAAACCAUGUCCCACAUCACCUCAUGAGGAAGGCACACUGAUUUGAUAUACUUAGGGGUGGAGGGGCCAGCACAGGGCAGGACACUAUUAGAUAACACUAUGCUGUCUUGCUCGACUUUCCAGAGAGAGCUGACGCAGCCAUAAGGAAUGCUGUUUGGCCUUUUGUUUCUUAGUGCCAGACUGCACCAGCUGCAUGCACGUAAGGAAGGAGGACAGUUCACGAAGGGUUUCACAGGUCAUGGUCACGACUCUGGCUUUCACUCGGAGGGAUGUGAGAGCCAUGGCAGGUUGUGGGUGGAGGAGAGGCAGGGCAAGCAGGGGAAGGGCUGAAUCAAGGAUCCUCGUCACGGCUACUGUGACCAUCCAGGUGAGAGCUGGCAAGGGUUUGGACUGGUGGGGAAGGGAGAAGAACCAAUGUACAAUAUGAAAGACAGGAGCUGGGCAAGAGUGACGGGAGGGAGGCUGGAGGCGUGGCUGACCUGUCCUCACGGUGGUUUCCUGCUCACUUGUGAGCUGUCCCAUGAGCUGGAUGGGGCCUCUCUAGGAGUGUUCCUAAUGUUUGCAUGACUCAGUACACCCCAAAUGGAAUGACAUGGAAUUCCAUCAGGACACACUCUCAGAUUCCCAAUUUAGAAGGAAAAACAAUGCCAUUUCACCAGGGUGAAUUGCCGAAAGCAGGCAAUAUGUGAAAGUAGCAAAUGACUCCCAUUUCUGGGGAACGGUGCUUAAGGUGUGCAUACCUGUAGCAACUGCCAGAAGGAAUGGGCUCUUGGGAUUGACUGACCUGUCCUCAGAAGGGUGCAAAGCCACGUGUUCCCGAUACAGCACGUGAGGGGAUGAUGGGAGAGAGGGAUGCUUCCACAUCCGCGUCUUGCUCAGUGGGAGAAAGUAGGGAACCUCACAGGAGGGAUGAUGAUGAUGACCAUCACAGGCAGUGGGGACACGGGAAGGAGUUUUUACUUAAGGUCAGGCUAGAAAAAUUCUAGUUGGCUAACAUAGGGGUAGCAAACAAUAGAUGAAAAAUGACAUCUAUUACUGAGAGAAACAGAGCUUGGUUUUCUAAGCUAAGGAGCUUGGAAAAGCAUAUUACAAAGUGUUUAUGUAGAAUUUGAUACCUUCCAUCUGGCUUGUUGAUAAUCAUAAUAAUUAUUAUAAAUCUUGAAUAUUUUCAUAAAGGAGUUGAAGCAAUCAUCAACUGUUACAGCAUAUUCACGGUAAAAAAUCAACACUUUCAGAUAUAGUUUUAUAACCAGCUUUUUGAAGAAUAUGAAAACUAAAUCAUCCCUUCUAUCAUCUAGGUUUAAUGAAAUUGCCAAAUGCACACACUACAUGAAAGCAAAGUGUCUUUCAGAUCCCAACGACUUACUAAUCUAGUAAUGCCGCGUUGGUGGAAAGACAUGACAUACCUCAAACAGCAGGGGGCGCCAUGCGCCAAGCCCGCAGAGGGUUGUCCAACUCCUAUUCCUUUUCUCUGCAGCUUUAAUCCUUUCCUGGUUUUUCUCACAGGAUCUGAGGACUAUUGAUAAAGUUCCACACUCCAGCUUCUGUUUAGCCUUUCCUUCUCCUUGACUAUUAAUAGUCAACUUGGAACUUGUUUGGGACUGGGGGAAGGGGACAUGAGGAGUGACUGUUUAGUGGGUAUAGGGUUUCAGUUUUGCAAUCCCGUUAUGGGCAGAUGGUGAUGACAAGCAGCAAUGUGAAUGGACUUCACUGUCCCUUUAAAAAUGGUGAGGUUGGUACACUGUAUGUGUAUUUUUCUACAAUUAAAAAAAUCUUAAAAACAUUUGGAACCUGCUUAUAACAGCACACUCUGUUCAUUUGCUCGUUGUUUAAAUGACACAUGUGCAUCUGCCCUGGUGUCUUAUUAUGAGGGCUUAGGUAGAGUUUUAGGGACUAGCCUUUAUUGUCUUCAUCUUACCUAAAUUCCCCCAAAACAAACCAAUCAACCACUCAAAUCUGCUAUACGUGCUGGAUUUGAGCAAAUGCUGGAUUCCUGAAGCUUCCAGAGAGAAGUGCGGAGGGAAGGCAGAGGGAAGGAAGUCACUCACUAUGCGCCAACAGCGCUCCAUAUGUGAUUCCAUUUCAUCUUCAUACACUCCCCAGAUAGAUGCCUUAUUAGCUGAGGAGGACACAGGGCCUACAGGGACUGUGUGACUUGCCCCAGGUCACCGGCUGGUAAAGAGGCAGGGGCCAGAGUUCAAUCCAGGCCUUGGGGCCGCAGAAGCCCUGCUUUCUCCCUGUUUCCAAGAUGCCCUAAGCUGCUAAACUGUUCAGGCCCAAGGGUACUGUGAGGGGCACCAAAUGAGAAAGUGUUGAAUUCCAUUAAUUCACCUUUGGUUCUUUUCUCAUCCCCCAUACACAAGAGAGGCAUUUUCUUCCAGUGGAGCCGGGAACAAUGGGGUGGCAGUCUCCACCUCACGGCGUGGGGGUGGGGUGGCCCAGCAUUAACAAAGCCUCAAACAGGCCGUCUUUGUUCCAGACAAAGGGUCAGCAUGGUGCCACCGCUGGAAUAUGGCCUUUAGCAUCCGCCCAAGAGGGCUGAGUGACAGCUAUGGCUUGGGGGAAGGUUGCCACAGGAAGGUGAGACAGGGUCAUUCUCAUGAACGGAAUUUCUAACAUGGAACGCAGGGCCAGCCGGGCAAAGUCCUGUCGGAUGGCAAGUUUUACUACAAGCUCAGAUUCUGCUACCUUCUAGCACAUGACAGAAGGACUCAGAACUGACACGCCUUACUGAGACGCAGCUGCAAAUAAUGGUGUGCAACCAAGACGGUGGAGUCCUUGGGGUGCCGGCCCAAGCAGCGGCAAGACAGGAGCAGCACAAGCUCACCAGGGCGCGGAAGGCCCUCUCCACUACACAUGGACAGUAGGUAGAAAUGGGAGUGGAGGAGCCCAUCCUGACCUGCAAGUUCCGCAGGGUUGCCUGCUCUGGGAUGGCACCUACUUCCCUCCGGCAGGCAGUGAAGCCCAACAGAAGCAGCCCGCUGUGCUGUGAUCCAUGCUGGGUUCUACAGAAACAGCACGCAAGGUGGGGACCUGACCAUGCUGGGUUCUACAGAAACAGCACACAAGGAGGGGACCUGACCAGGCCGCUAAGCCCCUCUCCUCUCUGGCAGCCUCCAACCUAAUCCCUUCUCCCGGACAAAGUUUCUCCCCAGAAGCUGGAGCAGGGGGGCUCACAGCCUUGCCGGAGGGGAUGAUCCUGGGCUGCUGACAAAGAGAGUGGCCAUGGUUUCUUCACAUUCACAGGAAUCAGGGAAAAUUAUUUUUUUUAAAGAAAUUAAGGGAAACAGAUUUCAAAACUUAUGGAAAAGAGGCGAAUAUGAUCUAAUAGCACCAGAGAUUCUAAAAGAGGCUGAAAAACUCUCAGAAGACAAAUUCUCUCCCAACAACCAGAAAACAGGCCACGAGGAGGAAAACAGAAGGCAUCUGAAGGCCUCAUGGUCCCCAGGUGUGGAAGUGGGUACUGGGGACAGCAAAACGUGCAUCCAUGCCUUCACCUGAGGGCAGGGGUUUGGAAGCCAGUCUCUUGCAGGUCUCCCUCACCCAGGUCCUGGGACGCCCCACGCAGAGUCGACCUUUAAGGGCUUGCAGCCUGGAGGAUGGGGCCGACGUGUAUGUGGAUGUGCCCAGCGUACUUGCCAGCAAGAAGCGAGCGCCAGGAGUGCAGGAGAAGGACCCCAAACCUCUGACUUCUAGGAGGCGUUUCCUUUCCCUGUGCCUCCACCUCUAUCUUGCCAGCUGCGCCUUCCAAGAAGAGGUGGCCAGAGCCCGGGUUCCACUGGGAUGAGGGGCACUGUAAAUACUGAAACUGUCUGUGACCUGCCACUUUGCAAUGGUGGGGUAGGCUCUGGCGGGGGGAAAAGGGGCGGUGCCUGUCUGUGCCAGGGAGAGGUUGAUAAGGAAGCACCUGCCUGCCAAGAAGCCCGACGGGGCCCUCGAGGCCAAGGCAGCAGCCACCAAGGCAAAGCACAGAGCGAGGGGACACUGCUGCAUGGGAAGCUGGAGAGGCGGCCCAACACGGGCGUGAAAGGCCAUGUCGUCCUCCGGGGGCAGCGGCCAGUGGUGAAGGACUAUCUGGAAGGCUGUUGGCGGAUGGGUGGCUACUGAGAGGGCUCAUUUCCUGAGGAUCUUUAUCAUUUCCAAAUCGGCCAUGGCUAGGAGGGAGAGGCGGGCUGAAGGGGCAGCCUGGUGCACACAAGUGUCAUGUCUAUGGCAGGGUCUAUGGUGGUACCAAACAAUGUGUCCAUAAGAACGUAAGAACCCCCAUAAGAACAAGGUCGGGAGGUGAAAGCCCAAGUGCUCAGAGUAAAAGUGCUCAGAUCAAGAAAAAGAGCUGUAAAAAAUGUGCCACGAGAAAGAAGGGAAAAGGGAAAGAGCUGCCAGGGGCCGGGGGUACCUUCCAAACCCCAGCUCUCUCUCUGCCUUCUCCACCAAGGAGGGUCACCUCAAAACUAGCCAGGAAGAGCAAACCCAGCCAAGUGGGAUCUGAAGACCAACACUGACAAGAGGGAGAAAAGCAUUCUGUUGAUAACCAUAAAACUGUGCAAGGUUCCCAGCAUGAACUCAUCUGUGGUGGAAAGAAAGCUUAGAGAAUCAGGGAGAGGCUGGGAGCCUCGAGGUUGGAAAUCCUAGAAGGGCCCAGUCCUUGACUGGAGCUUAUGGGUCUCAUGUUUAUCCUGAGAACAGUGCCAAGCGGCUAAUUUAAAAAGCAGGUAUAGCCUUAGGCUGCACUAGGGAAAGUGAUGGGCUGACGUGUUCUGCUCCACUGCCUAGGCGUUUGAUGAUUUCAGCAAUGCAUACGGCCACAGCUGUGUGGGACAGGGCAACGUGGGGAGAGACGAGACACACGGGAGGCCCAGGGAGCUGCGCGAGUGUCACGUGAACAGGGGUCAUGACGGGUCCCUAGGAAGCAUCACGUGUGCCCCACAGGACCCAGGUUUCUGUGGACACGCGGGUGUUCUUUCUCACCUGAGGACUUCAAAAUGUUAACAUGCUUCCUGGGCCCAGGUGCAACUUCAAAUUGGUCCUUACUGGCAUUUUCUACUAUGUGGUUGUGUCUGUGGUUCUAUCAGAUGUCUAGUCAGAGGACUCAACCUAUUCAUUCCCCUCUUUUUGUGUUCACUGCAGCUUGAUGGAGAACUGGCAUCUCUGUGUUAGCAAGAAGAUGGGGCUCUGGUAGCACCAUCUGUGCCUGGGACUGGGAGGCUGUAAAUAGCAGGGGGUGACGGGUCAACUAAAGAGCUUCCCCGAGGAGAAAAAUGGUUCAUACAGGGGUCACAUCUGUGGCAGGGUUUGUCUACUGAAGGUGUGUGUAAAUCUACCGAUCAAGAGACUGGCUUUUAAAAAAACAACACCCCCCACCACCAAAACCCACACAAAUUUGAAGACUAUAAACUUUAUAUUUAUCUAUAAGAUAUAGAUACAUAUAUAUAAUUCAUAAAAUUAUUCCUUGGCAUAAAAUAUACCCCUAGCUACUUAUGUAUAUGUGCAGCCCUCUUUCCCUAUGUUAGGGACCACUGAGUGUCCCGGUGGUGGAGCUGGUGGCUGAGGAGAGCUGUCAUUCUUUGCAUAUAGCACAUGCCAGGUAUUUCACUAAGCUUUUACCCCUUUUAAAGUCUUAAAAGGUGAGCAAUUCUUGUUGCCUCUGUGUGGCAUCUGGGGAAACUGAAGAUGGCAGUUUUGAGUGACUUUCCUGAAGCCACUUGGCUAGUGAGUGGUGGAGCCUGGAUUUGAACCCAAGCCCUGUGGCUCCAGGGCCCACAGCUAUAAGCACCAAGCUAUGUAGCCAAUUCCAGCUUGACCUAAAUCCCUCUGCCUCCAUCCCUCUUCCCUCAUUAAAUCAACAGACACAUACAGGGCAGUUAGAUGUCAUGAGAGCCACAGGCGUGACAGACAGCCCCCCCAGCUGAACCCAUCUCCAGUUUCAAAGGAGGGAACUUGUAAGAGAUCAGUGGUGUCAGCUCCAGUUCGUGCACCCUGGCCCUCUGGAAACUUCUUUUUUGGUAACAAUCAGUUCAUUCUUCAAGCCACAUCAGUUAAGAGCCAUCUCCAGGGAGGACUACAGGCCACUGAAAACUGUCUGGCACCGGAUUCAUAGUGAGCAGGUUUCGAGGCACUGUUGUUUGCCAUAUGUGCUGUUUCUUGGCAGCGCUUUGUGGUUCUUUUAGCCUUGUACUGGGCUCAGAAGAUACAAAAAGACCCCAGAAGAAUUUCAUGGCACCAUUAAAACCCAUUUACCUUACUGUGCCCGAGCAAGUGGGACAUCCGACCCAGAGCUGGGGACACAGUAGUCAGCCUUUAAGAGAAAAUGAAGACCCUUUUGAGCAAAGACCACAGACUAGCUAAAAGCACUUCACAAGCACUGCCCGUAGGUGCAGGAGACACCCAGGCCUGGGAGAGGGAAGCCAGUGAAGUCUCUCCUGUGCCCAGAGUGUUUUUUGAUUGUUUUCUUUUGUUCCUGUGUCAAAUGAUAUGUUACUUCAUUAAACUUACAAAAUGGCCAUUUAGCAUGCAAUCAGCUGUUUUAGAUCCUCAUCGUGCUCAUUUCACACACUGCUUCAUGUAAUUACCUCUAUUUGGUAAUUUUUGAGGUAUUUUGAGAUCAUUUACAUGGGCUUUGCUGGGCUCCCUGCCUGCUGCACCUAAGUGAAUGGCCGGUCAUCGGGAGUUUCAGGCCACGGGGAAAGUGCUCGUGUGCGGAGCCCCGUGUGCCUCACAGCCUCCGAGCUGGUGCUGGGCUCGGAAAGCCAAGAGGCCAGAGGCGCCACAUCUUUGCUUUCUCCACGUUGAUGGCGCAUGCGUGUCGGGAGUGUCUGGACUAAGCGCCCCGUCAGGCUGAUGUCUGGUUUCUGUACACUGUCUUUAAGCUGAGACUAAGAAAACCAAUUUUUAAAAAACCUGUAGGGAAUCAUAAGGUAUUAAUCAUGGAAGUCGAUCAAUGAAGCCCUACUGAGUGACUUCACCAUUUGUGUGGGAUGGCAGUUCCUGACUGACCUCUCCCUAUUGCUAGAUAUGCGUUCUAAAUUUCUCUUCAAAGAAUCAGUAUGUCAAUAUGUUCAAUUCUUUGCCUUCUACUUUUAAACUUAACUUCCUCGUAAAGCAACCUUUUCUGAUUACCUGCUCCACCCUGACUCAUUCCGAUUUCCUGCUCUGCCGUAAUCAUUUUUCCCCCCAAACCACUCACCCCCGUCACUCUCUUUAAAUUAGCCAAUCGGAAUUAGUUUAGCCCGUGCAGUCUAACCCUAGCCAAUAGGGAAACAACACAGCAGCAGGGGCCACGUGCGUCAGGGAUAAGAACCCCUUCCCCUCCCUUGUCCAUGUGUGCGCUCACCAUUGCUCCAUCUGUAAGGGCGCAUCCUUCUAUAGAAGUACAUUGCCUUGCUGAGAAUUAAAAAGAAAAUUUUAUAUUCGAGUACUAUGUCUUUUGUGGCACUGAAACCUUAUAACACUAUGAUAGCUCUGCUUCCACAGCAGUGAAAACCGAAAGAGCCGGGCUGGGCACCUGCCUCUUUGAGGUGGAACUCGGGUCAGGCAGCACUCGGCAGGUGCAGGGAUCCGUGGGGCCCAGGCUUUACUUCCUUAAGGGCUCAGAGGGGCUGGUGAGCAGUGCGUGUCUGCAGGCCCAGGGUAUAAACAACGUGUCUUCCCUGUUGCUUUCAAACUCAUUCAGGUGGUGGGCCCCACGUGGGUUCUUGGCAGAACACGGGUGUGUAUUGAUACGUUCAACUGAAAAAUGAGUAAUUUUUAUAAUUUUGUGCCAAAUCAAUUACCCUUUAUAAGGUUCAAGUGGUAAAUAGAAGAAGAGAUCAAGAUUUUGAGGCAAUCUGGGGGUGAAGAAAUACAAAUGAAUAAAAUUCUAGCAACUUAUUGUUUCCUGAAAAUUGGAAAAAUAUUUCAGUUUUUGAAUGUUUGUAGUGGCCCAGGUUAGUCCUGGACUCUGCAAAGACCUUGUUGAGGGGCACUGCAUUAUUCAAUGAAUAAAAAGCAGAAGAAAAACAAGAAGCAAAGUAACUUAAAUCUAGUCCUGGUACUUCUAUCAGUAGCUACGGUGUCAAUAUCCCCUGUCCCCAGAGAAACCUUUGGCAAAAAUAUCAUUAAGCAUGUAAGUACUGGCACAGGUUACCUGUAUCAAAAUGGCUCAUGUUCCCCAUAAAUAUGUACACCUACUAGGUACCCACAAAAAAUAAAAAUUAAACUAAAAAAUGCAGACACAGGGCCACACUGCAUAAAGUACUAUAUUUCUAAGCAAAUCCCCUACUCACAUGGAGAAUCUGGAAAUAAAAUAAUAGAGAUGUCUCAUGAAACUAAAAGGAGACAGAAUCUAACAAAAAACAAAAACAAGUGAGUUGAAUAGUUAGAAGUCUGGUUCAUCAAUCCAUGUAGCCUUAAGUGACGAGAAGAUUCCUUCCUUUCAGAAAUCAUAGUUGUUAGCUUGCCAGGCACCCAAAACAAAAUAACACAAACUGGGUGACUCUGAGCAACAGAAAAUUACUGCCCCACAGUUCUGGAGACUGAAAUCAAGGUGUGAGCAGAGGCACAUGCCCUCUGAAGGUGCUAGGGAAGGGUCUGUUCCAGGCCUUUCCUGGCUUCUGGUAGCUCCUGGGCUGAGGCAGCAAAACUCCAGCCUACAUGUGGUGCUUCCCCUGUGUGCAUGUCUGUGCCCAAAUUUCUUCCUCUAAAAAGGCACCAGUCAUAGGGGAUUAUGGGCCCACCCUACUCACCUACCAGAACCUCAUCUUAACCCUAUUUCCAAGUAAGGUCACAUUCUGAGGUACUGGGGGUUAGGACUUUAACAUAAGAAGGUUUGGCGAAUCCUAUUCAACCCAUAACAAUAAAAUAGAAGGUUCCGGGUUGAAUGCAGUUUCACGGUCUCCCUUUAACCCCCCACUGACUACAAAAAGCAAGGCUCAGAAAGAUCCAGAGUAAAAACCUAACUUUUUUUUUUUUUUUUUUUUUUUUUUUUUUUUAAAGAAUCAGAUCCUUAAAUACAAACAGCCAUUGACCUCGGAUACCCUUGCACUCUAUUGCAUGAGGCCACGUGGUUUGAUUGGCACACUGUGCCAGCGUGGCCAGGCUUCCUUCUCUCUCUGCCUCAAGUGACAGCAACACCUCCCUACCCCCACCACAUCAAGCAGCCUCCAUGUGUUGAAGCCAGUGAAACCAGUUAUUUGGGGACCAGUGGAUGUAGUCUGGGGGCCCUGGCACAGUCCCAUGACCUCUGCGUCAUCAGAAUGUGGGUGUGUGGGGCCAGCCCUGGACAGAGUCCCAUCCACACCUGCCAUCUUGAAACAGGUCAGCUCGCCAAAAAUCAACCGGUGGAUAACCAAUUUGGCCAACCAACAAAUUGUCAAAUUUUCUGAGUUUUAAGAUCUUGUCUCUUUUAAACUCUUCUAAAGUUUAUAGCCAUUUUUUACAGGAAGGAUUGGCAGGGUCCCAAGGGCUGGGAGGGCCCCAGGGUCUCUGGGGCCUCCAUUUUCCCUGUCUGUAACCCCACCUCUGCCAUUCUGCUCCAGUUUUCUCUGAGUCGUCACCUCCCCUCUUUUUCUGACCAGUCUCUCUCCCUUCUCCUUCUGACCUUCACGCUACUCCACCUCUCUGACAUUCAGUCACUCUCCUUUCCCUGAUCCUUGUUCUCCCCCUUCUCUGACUUUCUCUGAAUGUGGCAUCCCAGGGGUGCUGGGUAUAGUCGUGUAGUUCGUGCACUGCACAAAAGUGCCUGGCUGGCUCUGCUUGCCAAGAUCCAUCUGGAGAGAUCCCAUUUCCAUUGUGUGCUAAUGGUUUGGGGAGGCUUAGCAGAGGCCAAGCCUGUGCUUUGCAUGGAUUCUUCUCUAUGUCUCCUGAAGCAGAGGGUCCCCCUCUCUUGGCACUAACUCCCCAAAGUACAGCAGAGCAGGGAGCUUGAGAAGAUAAACAGCAGAUGUUCUGAAAAUGCCAUUGUGAAAUCAAAAUGGAAACUAGUCAACUAAAAGCAUCCAAAGGUGUUAAAAACUUCUGUUUAUUAAAAUAUGAUUGGCUAUGGACUUCAGAAACAGUUUUAAAAAGUCAUGUUUUGGGUAAAUUGGCAAAUUUGGUAAACUUAGCAGCCCGAUGGGCUGGCUUUCACCACUUGGCCUGGCAUGCAGGAAUAGGGAGGUCCGUCACUCUUUUGGGACAUUUCUUCCCCACCAAAAGGACUGUUGGAAGAUACAGCCCAUGCCGGUGAGUGGUUUCUAUCUUAUCCCCACUUCUAGAGUCCAGGAGGGCACCAUGAUAGGCCCCAGGGGUUUGUAGGAGGCUGGGUUUCUGUAAGUUCAGCACUGCAGCUGCCUUCCCCACGUAAGAGGAAGGACUGUGGUGCCUGCUCCUCUCUUGUGAGCUCACUGCUGCCUCAGCCUGUGGCUCCAGGAGUGUCUACCUAGAGAAGCACAGCCUUUUAGGGCACACUCACUGUCACUGUGUUCUACAGCCAGUCACAUGAGCGACAGAGACCGCAGCUGUCCAGGAAGGCUCAGGGCAAGGCGACCACUGGCUCUGACUCCAGCACCAGUGGAGACACCUUGCAUGGCGAGGCUGCGACGCAGUCUCCUUUGCGUGGCUGCAACCCUGCACGCUUCCACGUGAAAGCAGACCCUCUGAAGCUGUUCUUCCAAAUGGCUUUAUGCCACAUAUAUUUUUGAAAUGUGCUUCCCUUCACCCCAAACAGCUGCUUGUCAGUCAGCAGGCGCCUUGCUAACCUGGGUUUGCACUGUGUCUGCUCCCUCGUUGCUAUCAAGGGGAUUCCGUUUCAUCUGACAGUUCUACUGUUUUGAAGCCAAUCUUUUGGAUCAACUAAAGGUACCCCCUUUCUCAUCCUCAUGCCCAUCAGAUGGUUUAGAGAGAUCAAUCAACCUCCGGCUAAGCAUGCCUAACCGCAGCUCUGAAGGACUGAAAGCAAGAUGCUAACGGAAAUGGCGAACAUUUCCAUUUUCCUACUCUACACCCCUCUGACUUCAGCCCCUCUUCCACACUGGGCAGAAGACAUCUGCUGCUUUUCUUAAAACCCAGUGAUCAACAAAACUGCUGGAUAAGAGUACAAGGGCAGAACCAACUUCUGGAGUAGGACAGAUACUCUAAAUUUAAAUAGAAAAUGUGUAAUAGGGAAUAAACAAACACGUCAUUGUAACAUGCUGAAAUGAGCCUCUUACUAACUGUCAGCAGUGACACCGCGGUAUUUUUCACAGGCAAAGGCGGUGUUGAACUCAAAUGUCAGGGCCUGGAAAGGGGGCUGUUCUGAGGGAAGGAUGCAUUUUGAUUCUGGACAGUAUACGUUUUCCUUUGAAUCACUGAGUCAUUGGGUGUCUACAGGAUCCUGGGGGUCAGCUCUUCUCAAAAGACUCAGGGAUAAAGCUGAUUUUCCCAAAGCAGCGGAGUGUGGGAAAGCGUGCUAACGUUGGCCAAUGCGUGGAGGGCUGUGGCAUCAUCACGCAGCUCCUACUGUAUACACAGAAUCAUCUGCUGAAAUAAACACCAAGUGUGCUGCUCUCAAGCGUUUCAAUGACCUCUGCUACAUUAAUUUCCUGAUAUUACGAAGUUUCAAAAUUCAAAAAAACAAAAACAGGCCAGGGGCAGUGGCUCAUGCCUCUAAUCCCAGCAUUUUAGGAGGCCAGGAAUUCGACAUCAGCCUGAGCAACAUAGUGAGACCCCUUCUAUACAAACAGUUAAAAAAAAAAACCCAAAACCAAGGAAAAAGAAAAUAGACUAGAAAAUCAAGAGCCUUUUAAAAGCUUUUACGAUAAUACAGACUGAGCAUAAAUGAGAAGAUUGCCAUUCACAAGGGUGAAUGCUGUCGGUACCUUACUGACCGGUGUCUCAUAAUUAAGGAUUAGUUGAUUCCUGUGUUUGUUAACUUGUUACUGUGACCUUUCUCAGUGUCAAGCAGGAUGCUAAGCCCUGGGGAUAAAAGAUGACAUUGCAGACCCUGCCUCAUGAAGUUUGGGGCCCAAGAGCAGCAAAAGAUGUACAAGAAUGAAUACAGUAAGAGACAGAAUAAGGUGAGUACUCAUUACAGGGACAGUUUAAUGUUUAAUUUAGAAAGAAAAAUCUCCGGCUGGGCGCAGUGGCUCAUGCCUGUAAUCCCAGCACUUUGGGAGGCCGAGGCGGGCAGAUCACUUGAGGUCAGGAGUUCGAGACCAGCCUGGCCGAUAUAGUGAAACCCCAUCUCUACUAAAAACACAAAAAUCAGCCGGGUGUGGUGGCGGGUGCUUGUAAUCCCAGCUACUUGGUAGGCUGAGGCAGAAGAAUCAUUUGAACCUGGGAAGCAGAGGUUGCAGUGAGCCGAGAUCAUGCGCCUGCACUCCAGCCUGGGCGACGGAGUGAGACUUUGUCUCAAAAAAGAAAAAAAAGAGAAAAAUCUCCCUUUAUAUUUUUUUCUAUGUGUCUUUCAGUGAAAACUCCUUUAGCCAAGAUGUUGGAUCAAUUGAUUGAAUCAUCAUAAGGAUGGUGUACAUGAGACCCUUCCUAAGCCACAAACUCAAAUACUAUGGUUUUUAAUGGGCAAAAAAUCACUGUUUCAGGCAUGGUGGCAAGCGCCCCAAUCUGGAGGCCUAAGGGCCAAUAUUUGUUCCUACUCUCUGGGAACAGUGUGGUUCAGAGCACAGGGCCCUGGAGAGCAUGCCCUGAAGGCUGGGCUGUAGCCGGUUCUAUUACUGGAUACUUGGACAAGUCACUUGUCCGGUGUGAAUCAUUUCCUUUUCUGAAAAAUUAUGGGUUUUGACUAGUUCAUCUCCAAGUUCCUGUCUGACAAAGGGUUCUGAAUCUCUAUUUCUAGAAGGUGAAAAUUUACCCUGAGAAACUUCAAGUCACAGAUGGUUUUUAGAUAGAGGAUUAGAAUAAUAAAUAAAGCCUCUACCUGGGAAAUGUAAGCAUUUUCCCAGAUUAUAAGUCAUUAUCAUUUCAAAAUAAACUUGCAGAAUAUUUUUUUUAGAAGUAUAAAUUAUUGCCUGUGAACUGAAAGAGAGGUGAAUGUCCUUAAGCCCAAUCCGGUAAAGCUCUCCAUCAGAUUCAACUCUAGCAGCGGAAAGAUGUUAAACAGUAUGAAAGAAGACAGAGGAGGUGAGUUUCUGGACCGCAGAGCCAGCGGCAGCCAGGCGUUGUCAGCUUUAUAUGCAGAUGAGGUCCAAGUCACAGGGCCUCACAGCAGAGUUAAUUCAACCUUGGAUUUCCAGCCAUUUAACACAGUCUCCAAAUGCUGAGGUCUUUUCCUGGAAAAGAAACCUGCUCUGUUCUGCCUAAAAUGCUCUUAAAUGGUUUCAAAGUUGCUCAGUGUUUUGCUAAUGUUUUAGGGAACUAUGGAAAAGCUUGGGCACCACAGAGAGAAAUCAUGCUAACAGGGGAGCAUGGCUGCCUGGGGAACCGGCCCCGCUCAAACAGGCAUUGCUAUCAGCAAUUCUUCUGCAGUGAGGCAGUGCUGGAAUAGGUUCCCAACGCCCCCGUGUUCCACAGGGACAGGCUGGCAAAAGGGGCUGUGUUGGUGGUGACAAGGGCAGCUGAGGACACGAGGUCAUGACUCGGCAGUGUCAGAGGUCUUCUGUGAUGGGCACUGCCCUUGUGACAAUCUAAUUAGGUGUUGGAUCAACGGAUCAAAUACUAAGCUGCAGGCUUUCAAAAUGUCCAUUAAAGGUUUAAAAUGUACGCAGGCCUUGAGUUUAAUGGCCCACUAACAGAGCUCAUCAAGCUCCACGGUUCUUGUGAUGACGGUAAGAAGGACCCAGCCCCUGUGCUCCCGUUAUUGGCAUACUCCAACACCUUCACGGCCUCCGGUCCUCUUUAUUAGUUAUUGACAAUGACAACUGCACACAUCUCGACAUUUCUGCAAAUAUUUCUAUUGUAUAUGCGAAAGUAAGUUUCUACCGGAUUUAAUAGGACAUGUGUUGUGACAACAAUAAACAAGGAAAACAGAA